GCGGGCAUCGUAUAAUGGCUAUUACCUCAGCCUUCCAAGCUGAUGAUGCGGGUUCGAUUCCCGCUUCCCGCUGCCCGCUCCA
rnacentral:tRNA from 1 species